CCUACGGGUGGCAGCAGUGGGGAAUAUUGCACAAUGGGGGAAACCCUGAUGCAGCGACGCCGCGUGAGUGAAGAAGUAAUUCGUUACGUAAAGCUCUAUCAGCAGGGAAGAAAAUGACGGUACCUGAGUAAGAAGCCCCGGCUAACUACGUGUCAGCAGCCGCGGUAAUACGUAGGGGGCAAGCGUUAUCCGGAUUUACUGGGGGGAAAGGGAGCGUAGACGGCUGUGCAAGUCUGGGGUGAAAGGCGGGGGCUCAACCCCCGGACGGCUCUGGAAACUGUACGGCUGGAGUGCAGGAGAGGUAAGUGGAAUUCCUAGUGUAGCGGUGAAAUGCGUAGAUAUUAGGAGGAACACCAGUGGCGAAGGCGGCUUACUGGACUGUAACUGACGUUGAGGCUCGAAAGCGUGGGGAGCAAACAGGAUUAGAUACCCUUGUAGUC
rnacentral:rRNA from 1 species